CUCCAUUUCACAGCUUCUGUUGGCGCCUUCAAGAGCCAUAAAGUUAUGAACUGCCGCACAUGAUGUAGAAACCAACAGCAGCAGGUUCCCAAAUAACAUUAGGAAUAUUUUGUUUGGAAAUAAUGAACGUUCAGUGCUCAAAAUAGCUAAUAAAGGGAAAUUGUUGCUACCCAAUACAUGAUUAACUCUUUUUCUUAUAUAGUCAGUCUAGAAUUUUUUGCGUCCGUGGGGACUUUUUAAGAUGAGCAUAGGGACUUACCACAAGUCGUGUAGGGACAUGGUCGAAAAUAAGUUGGCAACACACGAUAGUUUUCCUAUUAUUGAUAACUGUUGAUUCGAACAAAAUUUCGUAAUUGUGGCAACUGUGUGCUGAUGAAUGUAGUAGUCCCUUCUGUAUGAGUACUGGACCUUAUAGUCACAGAAAUUGAGGCCACAAUGACAGUAGAAUUGAAUCAGCUGGGAGAUGCUCUGCCUGUAUUGCAGUUUUCUUCCGUGUCAAGGCAAUUGGGGCAGCAGUGUAGCAGUAGCUUAAUAACCAGGUUAUGUGACGGCACAUAGCCAUUUUUUGUCAUCGAUCACUACAUUCCGUCAUUUGUAAGUUUUGAUACCUCAAGAGCUGGAAUUACAUGAUUUGCCUGAGGUGAAACAUCAAUUUUGAAGAUGAAAUUUGUGGUAUCGUAAUGGAGCAAGCAAUGGGGAACAUAACAGCACACUGAACGAAAGCAUAUGCAGAUGAUGAUUGACGACAUCCUGUGUUUUACAAUUCCAGUCUCAAUACAUCACAUAUGAAUAACACAGUUGUUUUGUGUAAGUGCUACUCAAAGAUGAAGAGGAAGUUGUGUUGGGCUGCAUCAAACCAGUCAGAACAAUGCUUAACGAAAUUUUCAUUACUACCUCUUACAAGCGUUGUGCGCCCCUUUUUGUGCUACAGACAACCCUAAAGUGGUGUACUGAAUGUCAUUUUUCUUUCUGGCGUCGUAAUUAUGUACCUCAUUGUUCAUUUUGAGCUGGGGUGUAUUAUGAACAACCAACUUCAUGAGGGAAUAAAUAUACUGUAAACAGUAGUCAGAAUGCUCAACUCUUUUAACAGAUGUCUACAAGAUGAUCAUGGGUGACAGCAAUGUUCGUCAAGUCUUUUGGUACAGUGAGAGUUUCUUCUGGAUGUGGAACAGGCGUAGCUUGCACUCACCUGAAAGUGCAAACCUCGACAUUACCAGAAGGCUUGGAUGUGGUGCCAGGGCUGUGGAAAGCUCUACACUGCACAGCUCUUUGCUAAGUCAUUAGUAAAAAAUUCACACACUGUGGCUAGUCUCUUAUCGACUACUAUUCUUUUUGUGACCAUCCAUUGCUUUAACUUGAAGAAUCAGGAGUGUUCUGAAACAGGUUAAAGUAAAUGUGCUUUUUCACGUAUUUGCAGACUAUUUACAAUAAAACAGGCACAUUUCAUGUGAGAAAGUUUUGACAUUGGCUGAGUUCUGACAGUAAAUAAAAGGAAUGUGGUUGUAGAUCUCCUCUUUCAUGUCAUGUUAUAGCUCAUGCCCAGUAAUGAUUUUAGAAGAUGCUUGAGAAAUAUUUGAUAUUUUUAACAUAAAUUAAUUUUUUAUGGACCAACAUUCGUUUAAUGAAUGUUUCUAGCAAUUGAAAUGUCUUUCACAUGGUGAAAAUGAACUUAUCUAAUCACCCAGAUGUGUUUUGACUUUGUUAACAAGGCAUCAUUAAUGGCUGUCAUGGUAUGUUACAUUAUGUUGGUUACCAGAUGUUGAUUUAGGUUUAAAAUAUUUUACACACAAGUUUUGCCAUAAAACGCAACGGUACUCCAUUUUUCCGUUCUUUUGCAUGUUAUUCAUAUGUUGGUCAAAAUUUUUGUUUUUUACUAAAUUCUUAGGCUAUAUUGGAGUGUCCUAACUGAUGCAAAUUAUAUAUCUGUUGUUCAAAAUUGCCCACACCAAGAAACUUGAAUUAUUUGUGUUGUGUUGGUAUUGACAGCAUUGUGCCCUAGUGUGCAAAUGGUUUUAUUGUGGCAUUUUAGUGUGUAAAGAAAGUUUUAGCAGUAGUGUUAGCAAAUGGACAGGCCUGAAGAGUUUUUAAUAUGCAUGCUUAAAACUUGUCAGAUCUUUAGAAAUUAAAGUAAAUCUUCAGAAAGAUAUUUUAUCUGUCCAAUUGUUUUUCCUUCUUUGGAGAGUUAAAACUUUAGGUACACAUAUAGGAAACAAAUUGUUUAUAUCAAAAAUCAAGUAAAAACUAAAUUUUCAUAUGAAUACUGCUAGAUGUCUACUCUUUGCUGUGGUCUGAAGUGCAGUGAUGUCUGCAGAGGGAAAAAAGGCAGAAUAAAGUUGCUACGUUAGAGCACCACACUGUGAACCCUGAAGACAUUCUUUACGUGUAACUGACCUUUCUGGAGGGCAUCUGAAGGGGCAGCUGGGAGGUUAACAUAGGCGACUCCUCAGUGUUUUGCUCUGUAGCCAGAGAGAAGCCUUUCACUUGCUGUUUCAAAGAUUGUAGCCCUUAAUUCACCAGCAGGUGUAAAACAUUGUUUGAAAAAUCUGAUAUCUUUCUCAGUCUUGUUUUUGUGAACAGUGGCAACCCAGUAGUCCUUCCAUUUGAAUCCAGUGAAGCUCACUCAAAGGUCCAGCCAGUGAGAAAUCAUAAGCACACAGUUGUGUGACUCAUUCCAUCUUCCCAGUACCCUACCAACUUUCCCCACUCAGGAAUAGCAGGCAUCAUUGUAAUUCCAGUUAGCAUUGGACAAAGCCUUGAUUUCUGAUGUCAGCGGUGGCAUCCUGUUUAAUCCAGAUACCUACUGCUCCCCUGCAGGAAAGCAGCUUUUAAAAGAACCUUCUAUACUUAUGACACUGUGUCGUCAACUCUAGCUUCGUAACCCAUUGAUAAUGGAACACAGAGCAACAUGAAUGAAAUUUUCACUCUACAGCACAGUGUGCUCUGAUAAGAAACUUCCUUGCAGAUUAAAAGUGUGUGUGAGACCGAGACUCGGGACCUUUGCCUUUCUGUGGACAAGUGAAGUUUGGAAGGUAGGAGACGAGUUACUGGUGGAAUUGAAACUGUGAGGAUGAAUCAUGAGUCGUGUGGGUAGCUCAGAUGCCUUUCACGGGCAAGUGCUCAAGUUCAAGUUUCGGUCCAGCACACAGUUUUAAUCAGCCAGACAGUUUCACAGAGCAACAUUAUGAAAUUUGGGGCACACCCCUUGGUUGUUUGGGUAAUAAUACACAUUUAAAUGUGUUCAAGAAACUUUGGGAUUUCUUACACCACUAGGUUUUUCAGUUGAGUUAAGCAAGAUCUUACCAUUGUAUGCUCAGAGGUUUGUAGCAACUCAGUACUUGGAGUUGUAACAAAGUUUUAAGAAUGGAAGGAUGUGUCCCAUAAGGUGUUUCAUUUUGUAACAUAAAAUUUUUGCAGGCUUAAUAUAAAGUUACACACUUUGAUCAUUUCCAUAAAAGUCAGCAAAAAAUAUGAUUUUUCAAUGUUAAUUGGGAAAACUAGAAACCACAAAUUUAACAUAAUAUUAAAACCAGUCACUUAAUAUUAAUAGCUAGUAUGUCAGGCAAAAUGUGUUAUAUUAAUAAACCUGGAAUGAUACAAUCCCUUCUUUUGUUCACUUGGUGAUGCUAGG